GACAUAGGUGGCGAGCGUUAUUCGGAAUUACUAGGCGUAAAGCGAGUGUAGGCGGGCGCUUAAGUCCGUUGUGAAAUCUCCCGGCUUAACUGGGAGGGGUCAAUGGAUACUGGGUGUCUUGAGUGCGGUAGGGGGCAGUGGAAUUCCCGGUGUAGCGGUGAAAUGCGUAGAUAUCGGGUGGAACACCUAUGGCGAAAGCAGCUGCCUGGGCCGUUACUGACGCUAAGACUCGAAAGCUAGGGGAGUAAACAGG
rnacentral:rRNA from 1 species